rnacentral:misc_RNA from 1 species
GAAAUGCGAUAGUAAUGUGAAUUGCAGAAUUCAGUGAAUCAUCGAAUCUUUGAACGCACCUUGCGCUCCUUGGUAUUCCUUGGAGCAUGCCUGUUUGAGUAUCAUGAAAUCUUCAAAGUAAAUCUUUUGUUAACUCAAUUGGUUUCUACUUUGGUAUUGGAGGUCUUUGCAGCUUCACACCUGCUCCUCUUUGUUCAUUAGCUGGAUCUCAUUGUUAUGCUUGGUUCCACUCGGCGUGAUAAGUUAUCUAUCGCUGAGGACACUGUAAAAGGUGGCCAAGGUAAAUGCAGAUGAACCGCUUCUAAUAGUCCAUUGACUUGGACAAUACUUUUAUGAUCUGAUCUCAAAUCAGGUAGGACUACCCGCUGAACUUAAGC